rnacentral:tRNA from 1 species
CACCCUCGUAGCUAAAAUGUCUAAAGC